rnacentral:lncRNA from 1 species
GGGACCGUAUUUCCCUUUCUUAUAGGCUGUUUUUCUUGUAGUGCAAGUGUCUCCGGAGUAUUCUUAAACCCCAGUUCUCCUACAAAUCUCAGUAAUCAAAGAGGGGAAGAAUAUAUGCAUACCGCCUUGGUUCUUGAAGAAUUUCAUAUCAGAAACCACAAGCUGACCAACAUUCAGAGGAAUGUCGUCCAGAAUGCAAACGACCAUCUGGUCUGAAAGUCGAGGACUAAUGUCAUGUG